UGCACGACUCCCGGCAAUGGAUAUCUUGGCUCUCGCAUCGAUGAAGGACGUAAGCGAAAUGCGAUACUUGGUGUGAAUUGCAGAAUCUCGUGAACCAUCGAGUCUUUGAACGCAAGUUGCGCCCGAGGUUAUCUGGCCAAGGGCACGCCUGCCUGGGCAUCACGCCUGGUGACGCUUCGUGCC
rnacentral:rRNA from 1 species